CCCCAUCAUCCCAUUUCAUCUCUUUUUCUUCAGUUUCCCUCCUGAAGAGUAGCUACUGAAUUUAGAGCUAGGGAAAAAAAGAAGUAAUACACAGGACUUAUGGAUUCAGACAGCAAGUCAAAAUAGUUUAUUAGAGAACAGGAUUCAUAGUAGAGGCACUACCUCACAUUUAGUAUAGGCACUGAACAACUGCACUGGAGUCACAGCCACAACUUGGACUGGAAACCAAAGCCUGCCAGCAACAUUUGACGACAGCUACAGCUGCAAGUUUAAUAUUUCAUGACAAAAAAAACAUCCUAUAAAUACUGAAAUAAUUCAUCUGAUUGGGAUUCAGUUCAAACAGCAAUUGGUAUAAUCUGACUGAGUGUAAAAAACAAUUUUAGACUCUGUUUUAAUCUCUUUAAAGGUGGUUAACAAAAUUAUCACUGAUGGAUCCUCAGAUGACUUUCUAGCAGGGAUGCAACAAUCUCAUAAUCUCUCCCUACAAUAAUAUCAAGUCCAUGAUACCAUAGCUAUCAGAAAAUCUAAGACAACUGAAGACUUAGAAAAAAAAUUAGGAAUGAUGACUGAGACCUGUUAACAUCAAAAAACUGGCUCUAUCAAAACCUGAAAAUCAACAUUUAAACAUGAUGUGACUUCAUUAUGCUUGCCAAAUUAAGUCUUUGAAUUGGUAGCUAACAGGUAAAAAACUACAUAAAGAAGAAUUCUAGUGGUCAGUUGCUUGCAGAUCACUGAAUAUGCAAAAAAGGCCUAAAGUGUGGCUACAUUUGACCAAAGCUAAAGAUAGAGAAGAAGCAAAAGGCAGUUUAUACUGCAAAAUAUUUCUUGCAAAGUGGGGAACACAGCCUUCAUGAGUAAACACAUCAGCACUGCACAUCAAAUCAGGCAAAAAUGCAAAACCUCUGUCUGCCUGCAAUUUGAUAGUCUCCACACACCAAGCGAGUGUAAAAACAUUCACGCAAAUGAAUUACAUGUUAAGUAAAUGCAGAGAUGCAAUUAGACGCUCCUGAGACUCUGGGAUUUGGGCGGGAGCUUGAAAUGACUCAACUUAAGCUGAUGUUUGCGUCGCGCUAACCAAUGAGCACGAAGGUUGCCAGGUGACGUAUGAAAACAGAUGGUUGUUCACUGGUAUCUAAAAUGGGGGACAAACUGAUCAUGUCAGUGUGUGGGUUCCCCGAAUUAUAUGAUACAUUUUCUUUCAAUUACCGAAACCGAAAAAAAAGGAGCUAGUCUGGAGGCAAGUGAGUGAGGAGGUCGGAAUACCUGAUAGAUUGUAACCUUUGUCUAUUACUUGAUCCCUCUGGUUGAAUUUGCAGGGAUUCCUUUUGAAAUUACCAUUGACGCACAAAUGACAUGAGUAAAUACUAUUCAUUCACCCGUCUAGAUUCGCAUGAAUUAAGCAAGUAGAUGAUAUUACUUGUACUUGGUGUGAGCGCCCCAUGAGACAACUCUGUCAACUCCUGUUACUGGGAUGCUGCUAUCCUCCUCUUUAAGUUCUAAUAGUUCAAAAUCAUAAUCUAGAGUUGAAAUCACCUCAGUCAGUUAGCUAGCUGACCAAGGUGUUAGACUGUUAGACUCACUUUGUGAGACCUUCAAGUACGGGUCAGUGACACAAGAUUAAAGUGAAAAUACAUUAUUCAUUAUCAUGGUAAACUUUUGAAGGCUCAUGUGUUUCUUGAUAUGAGAUUUAAUAUUGUGAAACCGGUGAGAUUCAGUCGCCGUCAUGAUCACCGAAGAUGUUCACGAUUUUUGGGUUUUUAAAUGUGGAAUCAGAUUCUGACGGAACAGGGUUUCUAUCAUCAUCCCUACUCACAUGUUUUUGUUCAUUACCUUUUCCCCUAUCUCAUUUUUGACAGCACCUUGGAUUUAAAAGCUUCUGGUGCUCAACAGUUUUAAAAUCUACACAGCACAAUGUAGCUAAUGACAAAGUCUGUUAUUUUUGCUGUACCACAUCUGGGGCAUACAUGGACUGAUGGUCUCAGUAGUUCCCUAAUUCCUUCACCCUGAUCCACCAUGGCUGAAACAAAACUGCUUCAUACUGUCAGACUGUUACAGAUCAACAAUGCUAUCAUGGUGCUCAACGUCCUUGGGCAAUAUUGUGAUUUUGACGAUAUUGUUACAUCCCUACUAUCUAGUAGUAAUAAACCUCUUAUCAUAUUGGAAACCCAUUGACUGAGUCACUGGCAGGCUUCAGUUAGGGGGCGCAUGUACAUCCCCCGGCUCAUGAACUCGCUGUUUCCUUGUCGUGAACUUUGCUUUCAUCAUUACAACCAUCAGUUAAAGAACACACAGCAGGUUCACAAUAAUGUGUUACAAAAACAACCACAAAAUAUUGUAUGAUUACUUUUAUUAUCAUAAUCAAAUUAUAAUAAAAAAGUGAUGACAGUAUAUUCCCUCUGGUUCACUUCUGUAAUAUAUAUAUAUAUAUAUAUAUGUGUGUUAAUAUAAAAACAGUGUUAAUCCUAAAAUCCGGUUAAAAUGUUGGUAUAACUUUGUUCAACUGUGCCACAGAUGCAGCACCUCACAUUAACUAGAACACCAACUCAACAUGUUCCUGCGUCUUCUUAUUUAUGCUGAGCCAUCUCUAAUUGAUCAUACUACUCCAGAUCUGACCAAAACUCUGAGUGUAGUGGUGCCUGUUUUUGUUGUGCACCGCUUGGUGCAGCAGUCUGAGAGGCAACACAAGGGAGAGAGAAAGCAUGUAAACCCUCUUAUGGUAGAAAUAUCCUGUGGUGUUACAGUCACAUGGUUAGUUCAGAAAAAAAGAAGUAGAUCACUGUUAAAUGGUACACAGAGAGACUCUGUGGAUCUCAUUGCAUGUUGCUCAGCACCACUUAAAAUAUGUUCUUGUGACUCUAAAACUAAGGUACGCACCAAAAAUAUUACAUUUUUUUCUUUCUUUUACAGCUAGGCAUUUGAGUCUCACGCCUGGUUCACACAGGAAGCGUCAGCCGUGCACCAAGUUUCGGAUCGGCGCCCGUGUUAACCUAAGGCGGAGCACGCCCUGUGUGAUUGUAAAGCUGGGCCAACUGUAAAGCUGGACAGAGCAGAUCGGGCCAGACAGGAAGUCUGGAACAGGAGAUGCGAGAGAAUCUGGUCAAUUUUCAAAAUAAAAUAAAUUUCAAUAAAUCAGAAAAAAAAAGGAUUUACGGUGUUGCUUGUUGGUCUAUUUUUUCCCGAUGAACACGCAUGCACGCACACACACACACACACACACACACACACACACACACACACACACACACACACAAACACACAUACACGGAGGGAGAGCUGCAGAGAUUAAGUGAUGUUAUUGAAACAAAGGAGGGGGACUUUAUUACGAUAGAGUCAAUAGCCUCGAGCUAACAAGGCUACACGUACAAUGGAGUCAACAGACUCCCCAAUUCAUUCGUUGUUUACCCUAAUAUAAUAAUUUAAAACAAUACUUGAAGAUGCUGCCAAUAUUUAAUUUAUGUAUAGCGUAAUAAAAACAUAAAUAGAUAUUGAUUUACCCAUGUUUAAAGUGCUCGUAAGUGUGGAACUGAGGGCAGACGGAAACAGCAGAGCACUGCCGGGCUCAGUCGAUGUCUGACAGGCACGUCAGAGCGCAGCAGAAAACGCUUUAUGUGUGAACAGCCAAGCGCGCGCAGCAUCGGCAUCCUGUGUGAACCAGGCAUCAGGCCACAGUCCCCAGCUUGCUUCGGUUUUUGUUUGGACAUUGCCCUAUUUGAAGUAACUCCAGCUGCUAAACAAAUGUUGUCCGUGUAAGUAAUUAGAUUUCAUUCUGAUGAAUAAAUCAGUAAACAAAGCUUAAGCUGAGUCCUGACAGCAUGAUACACAACAGAGUUUCCAGCUGGAGCAUCCCUCUUGUUUAUAGACUGUGUGGCACUGUGAAGCAGUGGAAUGCUAACAUACUUCAUCAAGCAAUGGUUAACUGGAACAUUUUUUGUCGAUAUGAAGUGCAAUCAAAGGCAGCUAAAAUAUUUUUGAUUUUACAAGCUUCAAACUCAUUUUUUGUGCACAACUGACAACGUCACAGUUUUUAACGACAUAACAGAGGUCUAUGCUAGAUGUUGGCCCCUCGUACUGAUGCAAUUUCUCACUCUAGAGCUAGUUAUUUUUCCUCUCUUUCGCUACAGAAUUUUUGUUUGGCUAAGUUACUCACCUCAAGGCUCUGGCUCUGCAGUUAAGUCUUUUAAGCCAUUUACUGUAAACUUCUAAAUGCCCUAUACUGGAAUUUACCAAUGGUAUAUUGGUUUUUAAGUGGUCAAUUUAGUAUUUUAUUGUAUUUUCCUCAAACCUCAGUCCAUUUGAGAGGUGUACCUUCCUUGUUGCAUACGUAGCGUUGAAAAACUGACAGUCAGACUUACAUAUAGGGAUGCAAAAUAUUGGAAUCUUGCUGAUAUUUGAGAAGCUGCUAUUUUUCAGAUUCAUUCAGGCCAAUUACCAGACUUUUUUUUUUUCAAUGUAAAGGACACAAAGUUUCUUCUGUGAUAGAAUUUUCUUUAAUUGAAAUUAUAAAAGUCUUUUGGUUUUAAUAAAAUUUGAUUCUAUCAGAAAUUAUAUCUAAAUAUAUAUAUUUUAAUUUAAAUAUUUAGUAAUGCUAAGCUGCCUGUUACUAACAUUUUAAAAUACUUCUACACAGCCAAUAGAUCUAAGCCGUCAUCACAUGCACAAAAAUAACACACCAUUUUUUACACCAAUUUCCAAUUUUUAUAUUUGCUGAUACUGACAGUUAACUUUUUAGCGAUUAUCUUCCUAUGCUGUUACAAUAGUGAUAAUAUUGUGCUUUCCCUCCAACUAAAAUAAAAGUACAUGAAGUUUUGAGACUUUGCAUUAGCCAUGAUUUAUAUUUAAAACUAGGUUAAAGUGGUCAAAUCCUUCAUCCCAAGUUUAGAGUUUAUAGUUCCUGAAGCAAGCAGCCCAUAUUUAAACAAUCCCACAGCCCUGUGCUGCAUGCUCUUCCCGGUUUUCUACUCUACCAACUGUCCUUUUCUCUGGAUCAAGGCAUUAAAGCCCCCUCAAAAUAAAUUUGCUGAGCUCCACUCUAUCAUUCCAGGAACCUAAGAUAGACUCCUUUCUACCUGGUGAGUGCACAUGCCUUUCAAGCACCAUUACCCCAGUUUUAACACAAGCUUUAUAAUUAUCAUUUUAUUUCUCAUCCUCAGUACGAAUGAGCCUGAGAACAUUAUCAGAGAUGUUUACUGGGAGCAGUAAGCAGCAUCCUUAGCCUUUGGAGGAGAGCAUUUGCACAGUAAUUAAACACAUGAGAAGAAAACCAAUUAUAUGUAAAACAGGUGGACUGCCUCAAUAAAUAAUAAUUUUUCAACGGCAAAGCUUUCACUGAUUUUAAGCGCCAUCUUCUGGGAAUAAAAAAGACCUCUUCUUUUAACUGUUUGCACUGUUGUGUCAGACAAAGCACACUUUCAAAACCUUUUUUCAUUCAAAAAGUGCAGAACUGGUCUGAAAUCUGUGCAUAACUAAGUUUAUCUGCCUGAAAGGGAGUGUGCAUGUUUUACAAAUAAAAACCCCAUAAUUAUAGGUACACCUUACACCUCCCCACACACCAUCUGUGUGAAUUGAGUCCUCUUCUUUUUGAGCUGACUUUACGACUCAUGCAAUCACCUUCAGUAUGUUUCAUAAUGUUCAGUCAACCUCCUAAAUUUAAUUUUCCUACAUCUAGCACAUGGCAAUAGUGAUCCACAGAGCAGUGUACCAGGUCUGUGCCACGUUAGUCAUGGCAGAGAAACUGCUCAGUACAGCUGGCAAGACAGAAAAUAGAAGAAGAAUUCAAGGGUUGUGUUUCUCCAAAACAGCUGAUUCUGGAAGAAUUAAAAAAUACAAGUCUGUGUUGAAAUAUACUUUAUAUAUUUACUUCUUUUACUGGUGGCCAUUUGACAAAAAAAAACAAAAAAACCCACAAGUCCAUAAACCACUCAACAGAUUCAAAUACAAAUAAAAUACACAAGCUUGUUUGUACUAAACAUGUCUGUCUUCUUAUUUGUCGUCCCAUAAACUCCCAAAGUCAUUCAACAUUUAUUAUAUUGCGCUUUUCUUAUGCCCAGCUUUAUACAAACAGCUUAUAGGCUACUUAUCUGACCAACAUGGUGAAAAUAAGCAUAUUUAUAGAAAAAUAUUUUCUGCAACAUUAGGCAAAGUGAAACUUUGCAGGAACACAAAACUAGUGACAGUCACUUUGGGAAACCCAGCUCAGACCUGGACGACACCACGACACAUCUGUCACCUCACAAUCUGAACCCACAGUACAACAUCUGGAGGGAAAUCAUGAAAAUAAAUAAAAAGUUAAUAAACCAUUAGAAAAAAUAGGAGCUAUUACUUCAAAUCACAAAAUCUCAUUAAUUAAAUAUCAAUAGGAUGUUUGAUAUAUCAUUCUUCCAACGUCAGGUUCAUGUAGGAAACAAAAAACAACAACACGUGGGUACGCUUAUGUUGGAGGAACACAUUUAUGCUACCUGUAGGUGUUGACACGGUUCCCCGUUGCCUAGGAAACAGUGUUCAAGUUUUCCCGCACAAAAAGAUAAAUCAAGAGGCUUUUCAUUGUUAGAAAUAAGACUCAGUGAAGCAUGCCAAAUUCAACACCUUCCACUUUAUUUUUGAUGCUUUUACUGCCCACCCCCUUUGUUUGGUCAGAGUCUGAUUUUGUGGGCCCUCUUUUUUUAGGGAUCAAGGCUCAGAGUGUGCCUACAAUGUAACAGGGCCCUAAAUGUAGCCUGGACAUGCAGGUGUUGUAUGAACUACAUUUAUUUAUGAUACUGAGGUAAAGCUACACAGAGCAACUUUAUGUCUCAUCAGUGUGAUGCCUAAAAAUGACACACUGCAAAACCCAAAUCUUAGUGAGUGUUUUUGGCCUUGAAAGUGUUGUAUUAGGUUUGAGUUGAAGCUCCUGUGAGGUGUUCAUUUUUCUAUUUUUUUUAUUUUAGGAAAUAAACUGAAUUUCACAUCAUUUCAUGACAAAAGCAAACAAAAGUAUCAGCAGUGAGGUCAACAGUUCGUAUGUCGUCGUUUUCAGGCUUGUAAGUAGUGUGUGUGGGGGUCAGCCAAGUGCUACUUAAGCAUGUAGAAGAUGAGAUAGCACAGUUGUGUCCCCAGGGGACACCAAAACUGACACGAACUGAAAGUUCCUCAUGAGAACUUUAAGUUACAUUCACUUGACGAGUCUGGAAAUCGGCUUAUUGGACAACAUUACUUGCUAAAAAUAGGAUGUGAUUGUUCAUGAAAACCGUUUUGUUCCUGUUUUGUGUGGCUUGCAACAUGUGGCGAACACAAGACGCCACACUUUUAAAGACUCUUUUCACCAGCCAAAGGCCUAACUCUCAAAACUGGAAAUUUUGUUAAUUCUCUUGCAGUCAAACAUGAAUUAAGAGUAAACAAACAUGGCAGGCCACAGGAGCUAACCACUGCUAGCUGAACCUCCAACCUGUAACACUAACACAACACCUGUAUUCAUGUCAGUGUGUUUUACUAAACACUCGUGUUGUUCGCAUUGACGUCCAUGUAUUACUACUGUUGCCAUGGCUGCAUUUGUUCUGCUUCCUGAUUGGCUAUCAUUUUGUUCCAUGUGCCAGUAGACAGAGUUCAUGCUCCACCAUUCUUGGGGUUCCCCUGACACUGAAAAAUUUCCAAUCGUAAAUAUUCACAAUGUUCAAUAUUUAUGAUUUCAAGUUGUGGCAGCUUUGUCUUCAUGUGAGGAUACUCUGGAAAGAUCAUCUUUGGCUUUUGUCAGCAGGGAGGAAUUGUUCCCUGAAUCAGCACAAUAAUCUUGUAGUUUAUACCCCGUUUGUGUCACUUUCCACUGAAAGACAAAAAAAAAAAAAAAAAAAAAAAAAACACUAAGUAAGAUCUGGGAUUUUUGCAGUGCAUUGCUCAAAAGUACAUGGUAGUGUAAUUUGUGAUAUUUUGGGGGUUUUAUUGCUUGUAAAAUUGCCCUGGUCCUCAGGUUAUGCAAAUCAUUCAGACUCGUUUUUAGAAUUAAACGUCAUGCUGGUUAAAACAAUAUUCAUGCACUCCUCAUACAUUUUGGCUUUCAGUUUGUGGGGUAGAAAUAUACUCUUCAUCAACGGCUUAUUUGCUGCUUUAAAACAGUACACCAUGCGAUGAGCUGCUACCUGGAAUGAAGCAUCCUGCUCUUUUGAUGUGUGUGUUCAGACCUGCUGUCAGAGGUGGUGGAGGGGUUUCAGUCCAAUGAGUGAACAACCUGACACGUACGUCACAUCAGGAGCCAGAAAACCAGACCGAGGAGGCAUGUUUUCCAGAUUUAUGAAGCACCUCCUCUUAAAAACACUGUGACAACAACAGGGUCAGAGAAGGGGUGAGAGAGAAAAGUUGUGAAGGAGAGAGAGCUAACUCUGGCAAUGUCCCAGAAUUCCUUGGGCACCACAGCGGGGCAUGUAAAUUGCAUCGAAAUGCUUGAGAACAAGAACGUUGACUGUACAUCCUCCAGACAGCUUUCAAAAUAAUAGAUGGUGAGGGUGUCAAGAGUAUGCAAAUCACAUACACACACACACACGCAAAAUAAGGACCCUGCUCACAUACAAUCACCUCCAGUCAUGACUGCACAAGUUCACGUAUAACCAGUUUGAGUAAGCUUUUAAAAGCUGCUUUUUACUCAGCUUCCUAACUGUUCAUUGUAAUUCACGGUAAUGUCUUUUUAUGGUAAACAAUAACAAACAGGACCAUCAGGAGCAGUGCUGAUCUUUCUGAUACUAUUAUUU
rnacentral:lncRNA from 1 species